AACGAACGCUGGCGGCAUGCCUAACACAUGCAAGUCGAACGAGACCUUCGGGUCUAGUGGCGCACGGGUGCGUAACGCGAGGGAACCUGCCCUUAGGUUCGGAAUAACUCUCCGAAAGGGGUGCUAAUAGCGGACAAUGUCUUCGGACCAAAGAUUUAUCGCAUUUGGAUGGGCCCGCGUUGGAUUAGCUAGUUGGUAGGGUAAAAGCCUACCAAGGCGACGAUCCAUAGCUGGUCUGAGAGGAUGAUCAGCCACACUGGGACUGAGACACGGCCCAGACUCCUACGGGAGGCAGCAGUGGGGAAUAUUGGACAAUGGGCGAAAGCCUGAUCCAGCAAUGCCGCGUGAGUGAUGAAGGCCUUAGGGUUGUAAAGCUCUUUUACCCGGGAUGAUAAUGACAGUACCGGGAGAAUAAGCUCCGGCUAACUCCGUG
rnacentral:rRNA from 1 species